UACAGGGGGGGCAAGCGUUGUUCGGAAUUACUGGGCGUAAAGGGCUCGUAGGCGGCCAACUAAGUCCGACGUGAAAUCCCCAGGCUUAACCUGGGAACUGCGUCGGAUACUGGAUGGCUUGAAUUCGGGAGAGGGAUGCAGAAUUCCAGGUGUAGCGGUGAAAUUCGUAGAUAUCGGGAGGAACACCGGUGGCGAAGGCGGCGAUCUGGGUCGAUACCGACGCUGAGGUGCGAAAGCGUGGGGAGCAAACAGG
rnacentral:rRNA from 1 species